UCCCUCUCAGGAUCACACCUGGGGAGUUUCCAGUACUCUACCAGUCUUGACUACCGGAGAGAGAGUCAAACAGAGGCCUAUCCAUUCCAUUCCUAGUUUGAGAAAUGGCUAGCGAGUGGAAGGCAAUCUGCUACAAGU